CCUCUUCUGAUGAUUGGGAAAUUCCAUUUGAAAGUAUCACAGAUCUCCAGUGGCUGGGAAGUGGAGCUCAUGGGCCUGUGUUUCUUGGCAAGCUCUGUAAUGAAAAAGUAGCUGUCAAGAAGGUCAGAGAUGUUAAAGAGACAGACAUUUGGAACUUAAGGAAACUGAAUCACCCAAACAUUAUAGCCUUCAAUGUUCUUGUGGCAUCCAAUGAUAUUGUCAGGAACCAGCCGAGAGUGGAAUGAAAAAAAAAAAGCACUAAAAUGUCAUUCGCUGGCACUGUGACCUGAAUGGCAUCAGAAGUCAUUUGAAAUAAAAAGUGCAGUGAGAUGAAAAAGUAGACAUUUGGAGUGCAAAGCUCACAAAUCGACCAUCAUUUAGACAAAUUCUCAUGCACCUUGAGAUUGCCUCUGCUGAAUUACUUUGGUUCAGUCGGGAGGACUUUUUGAAUCUCUAUGAAGUCCUUAACUGAAAGACACAGAUUCUGUCACUAUCAUCAAGAUAGUCUAAGAAAGGAUCUGAGGUGAGAACAAUUACUGACUAUGUACAAUAAUAGUAGAAAGAGUAUAAUUCGUCCAAUCAUAAAAGUUCUAGAAAAGCUAGAUUGACUUGGUAAAAAAACCGACACAUAGGUCAGAGUCUGAAGUCACCAUGCCUGACUCUAUAAAAAACACAGAAGGGAGCAUGACAACCAGGUCUUAGCUGGUACCACCACCUCCUACGAAAAUGCAUGCCAGGAAGUCUUGUCAUUGUCGCAAUAACAGCAGAGGGUCUAUGAAAGACAUUACCUCUCUGCUCAAAUCACAAUCUACAUAUGAAGCUUCACUGGACACCCAAACAUCAGACAAACUAAACCCUGCAGAGCUUCAUCCUACCGACCUAUCCUAAGACAUUAAACUUUUUGGGACCUGCCACUGCAAUCAGGGAGUAUCGAAGUGAAGAUGAAGCUGAUGGGCAAGAGACUAGGUUAACAACAUUAAAAAACGUCAAGUUCAUUGUAGCAAAAACUCAUCCAUUUCUGCCGCAAGGCACUCGCCAAUCUCAAAACAUUCUCCUGUAAGUAAAAGCAGAACUCAUCCUAUCAAGACAAUAACUUUAAUGAUGUUAGCUUUGGCUGUGAUGGUGCCUGCAGUGAUGCUACUUGUAGCAGCAAAUGCUCAUCCCAGGUCAGUGCUAAUGUGGAGAGCAUAUGUGACCUAUGCCCAGCCCAAAACAGAACUUGGAAACUAUGAGUGAAAAAUCCUCUCCGGAUAUUGACCUCUCAUCCCGACCUGAAACCUUUAUUUCAAUGCUGACAUAACAAACAGAUGGUUUGGUUAUUGUUGUAUUUGAAAAACACAAAUGUCUACCAAAAUUGAGGCCCACUUUCUUCAAUUCUUUACAAAGGUAACCUGCAGCAUGUUAAAAGGAUGAAGUUUGUGAUAGGCUUCUUAAAAAGUUGGUUCCAAUAAAAAUUAAACUUAGUUAAUUCAUAAGUAUCAAUUUUAACCAGGUGUAAUAGUUUGUAUUUCAAAUGUCUAAUAAGUCCACUUGGGCAUUAUUUGUUUAUUGGGAGCUCUGCUUGAUUAGCCAGUGCACUAGGAAUUUUGUCUCUUUCAUAAAAAUGAGCAUUUUAACAAAUUUCCUUUAAACUUAAAGAUGACUCUAUUUUAAAAGCUAAUUGCAUUCAAGGUUUGGGUGGCAGAUUGGCUUAGCCAAUACACAAGGAACUACUGCAUCUUGGUAAUAAGCUAAUGCACAGGAAAAUAGUAUUUAUUGACUAUUGCUAACAACCAAUAUAAAAAGGAUUUUCAGCCAGUGCAUGUUUUCAAGAGGGGAAAAGUUCUCUUAAAUAAAUACACACAAUGAUUUUGUAGGCAGUUUUCUUUGCUUCUUUUCUCCUCAUUUUCAUCUUUGCUAAUGACACAUAUAUUUGUUUAAUAACAAUAUUUUCUCAAAUCUUUGAAAUAUAAAAAAUCAUUUGAAACUAACAUAUCACAUUUUUUACAACUGUUUUGUUAUGUAUCUUAGAACAUGGUAACCACUAUUGGCAAUCCCAGAUAAUAAUAAAAAUAGAUGCACAUUUUUUUCAUGUCUUUUUUUUUGCAUUCUUAAAAAGAAUGUAUGCAUCCAAAACAGUGUUACCCAACUUAGAGCCUGCAGGCCAUAUCUGACCCAUGAUGCAGUGCAGUUUGGCUUUUGAAGCUUCUGCUCAUGGUGCAGAGACCAAUUUCAUUGGACUUGCCUUUUUUUUAUGUGGCCCAUGACAUGUAUAAGAAAUUCAGCCUUCAGGCUGGAAAAGGUUGGGCAGCACUGACCUAAAUCAUCCCUUUUGAGUUUUGUCCACAUCAAUACAUGAUUUUAUUUCCUGUCCAAUUUUUCAUAGACCUAAAAAACUUGUUGGAUUUUUGAAAUGUUGAUAGAACAGAAAGAAAAAAAAAGUGUUCUUUUUCAGGGUGGGGUGCUCUGUAACCUUAAGUUUUUGGACUAGUAUUUAAAAACAGUAUUCAGUCCUACAAAAAAGAUUAGUUUAUUGAGACUUAAAAUUGUUUUGUUGUUUUAUAAGAUCCAUUUUAAAAAUGUCAUCACCUUUAACUUGAAUUAUUCUCAAUAUGAAAAACAAAGUGUGAAUUAUUUUGUCAUAGAAACAUUUAUUACAACAUAAACUGAAAAAAAAAGUUAAAUAUUAUAUAAAUAUGGUAUAUUACAAUAGCUCAUGAUUUUUACUAAUGAGUUUCACUUCAGUUUCUCUGUGGCUAAUUACUCUUAUUUCAUACAUUUAUAAGUGUAUAUUUGUUUGUAUAGAGAUUUUUAUUUAUUUUAACACACAUCUUCUUUUCUCUAGAACUGUUAUUAAAGUUUACCAGUGACAUUUGUAUUAGAUGUCCAGAUGAUACUUGUUUUUAUUUGACCACAUAAAUUUGUCAUUAUUCCAUUCAUUAGACAAACUGCAAAAGUUUUGCUGGAUAAAACUUGCUUCAUCAAAACAUUGGUUUUGCUGGCUGGACCAUCACCUUGAUUCUACCUCUUAUUGAAAAGAGUUCAUCUUAGUUUAUGCUUUUGUUUAACUUCUGCACUCUCAAAUCUACUAAACGUUAAUCAUAGAAAAGUACUGAAACAUUUUUUUUCUUCUUAGCCAUGUCUACUACCAUUGUUAAAAUAGAUACAAUUGUGAGGGAGUUUUAAAAAUGUAAUUUGCUAGAUUACUAGCACACAACCACUCAUCGAAAUUCAUUUUAGUGGAAAAGCGGGGGGGGGGGGGACAAAAAAAGUGUUUUCUAUGUUGUUGUUAUGCUUUAUUUUAAUUGACAUUUAUUUUCUCUUGCUAUUCAUUCUCUAAGUACCAGUAUGAAGAAACCAAACAAGCUGCUGAGGGAACAUCUGAUUAAUACUUUUUUAUAUAUAUAAAUUGUAUUUGGUAGCAUUUUUUUAGGUUUUUUUUUCUAAAGCAUUUAUUGUUGACUUAAUUUAAUAUAUUCUUUUAUCUCAGAUUUGUGAUUAGCACAUUAAAACAAAAACAGUUUUGUAAUAUGAUAUAUUAUUAUUCAUUACUGUUACUAAUCCAUAUUUUUUUUUUUUUUACAUUUAAACACCUUGUAUAUUGACAGAAGAACUCUUUUGUGUUCUCCUGAUUCCUACAAUCAUUCUAGUGUCUGCCAUUUUAUUUCUUGUCAUUUGUAGAACUAGGAUUCAGUUGUUGUUGUGAAUUAGUCCUGCCAAUGGUUAUUUAUGUAUUUAUAUAGUUUAACAUUUUUUAACAAUUAUUGUAAAGACAAUCUAAAUAAUGCCUGUCAUGUCAGGACUUUAUUUAUGAUUAGAUUUUUAAAUGUCUAGGUAAUUAAGUAAAAUUUUAAUUGCAAUAUGUGUGUGUAUUAAAGAAUAAAUGUUAUCUUUUGCUUGAUGAUUAUACAUAGUCUCGAAGUUCAGCCUAACAGACAUACCAUACACACUCAGCUUGUUCAUAAAAUAAUAAACAAUAUGUAUGAUAAGUUAAAAUAAAAUAUGAAUUUAAUAGAAUAAUAUUUAUACAAUAAUAUCGAAAGGAAUAAUGUGAAUGAUAAUUUUUCACAAAUAAAUAUAAAGAUAAAAAGUCAUAAAUUCAUUGUAAGUAAUAACUUAAAAAAGCAUAAAUAAAGUAAGCACCAAUAUGUUGCUUGAAAACACUGACUUCAACAUCACAGUUUCAUAUCGUAUGCCAAAGAUUCGUCUCUGUAAUAAGUUCUGUAUAAACUGCCAACGGACAUCAAUCAUGAUAGCAGCAUACUAGAACUGUCAUUAACUUCUGACCAACAAUACAAAGAUGACGACGACAAUGUCCAGGGUAAUACCAAAAACCCACAGCAUUGAAUCAACAAUGAAAUAAUUAACUGAAACCCUAUAAAAAUAACAGACAAUCUCUAAAACUAGAAAUACGAACGAAUCCGUUUAAAGAAUAUCGUUAGAGUAUAAAAUACAACUCACCCUAAACAGAGGUCAAAUAGUCCUAACAAGAAUUAAUCCAAGGCAAUAUGGUAAUGCUGACCAGUAGUAUAAAACCAAGAUUCAUUCAGGACCUCAAAAAGUACAUCUUGUCUAUCAAUUACAAUAAGGCGAAAAUGCCCCCAAAAUAAGAGCUGAUAAAUUACGUCACUCAUGACAAUGGGACAAGGAAUAAAAUGUUGCACAAAAUAUUAAUACCAUGAAUGACGUCAUCGCCUACAGAAGAAAGUGGCGCUAUUUGAUAGUGUACAUUUUUACAAAUAUACUCAACAACAUUACUAACUGCGACAAGCAUAAU